AUCGCCAGGUAGACCAUGCAGAAAAUAG
rnacentral:piRNA from 1 species